UCUUAAAUCAAAGGCCAUUUGUUGAAGAAAAAUGAUUAUUUUUUGUGCUUAAUACAGUUAAUCAUGCGGCAUAGGUAAAUGUUAUAUUCAAUACUCUUAUUUGAAACAGGUUUUGUGUGACCUUUCGGGAUGGGCCCGAAUGAGACAAGCAGGCGCUUUCCGCUGUCUGGCUAGAUCACACAAGAGUCAUAAAAUUAGCAUUCCGAUGGGGCAGAAGUGUUGGAGUUUGGGGGAAGAGACUUCAGAGGUAUCUGCGAAAUCUCAUCUCAGGACCUCUCUGAGCCCGGGAUCGCCCGUACCUGGCACGGCCCAAGGAUAAGCAGUCCGCCCUUUUGUCUCGACAGAAACCAGACGCCCUUCGAGCUUUGUUGUAAAUUAGAGACUUCUUAUGUUUCUCUGAGUCAUUACGGGAGUUUCUAAUUGGUCGAAGAACGGAACGCCUUGGUUGAAUAUAUUAAAUAAAAGGAAACACCCACUCAGUAUAAAAUUUCGUGUCAGCGCUAAAAAUGCAGAGAGCUUUCACUAUUUUUUGGCUCUUUCCAAAGACGCGUCUUUGCCUUUUUUGUCUGUCUUUGUCUUCGUUCUGUUGAUCUGUCUUCUCUGUCUUUGUCUGUAUGGGGAAAUCAAUGCAUAUCUCUGUACCUCUGCAGCUUUGUUAAUUGAUUCAUGCGUCGCUUUGUAUGGAAUUAAACUCUGUGAUCUGUGACGUCAACGUGAUUCGUUGUUUGUUUCACUACAGCUGCAGCGCCGCCCGCUGAGAGGACCCGGGAAUUAAGGAAGAAGGAGCCAAACGUUUUGUCCAAAGUUAAUAUUAAAUUAUUCUUCCUUAACAUUAGUCA